rnacentral:lncRNA from 1 species
GACUCCGCGGAGGCCCCCUCCCCGGUCCCUGGGGAGUUCCGGGGGGUGUGGUCUCGUCCCCUCUCCCGGGUUCCCUGCGCAGCCCCCCAAACGCCUCUCCUCCAACCCCCUCCGUGCUCUAACGACCGCUUCCCGCCUGGGCUCGGCCGCUCCCUGGCUGUACUGGGAAUGGACACCUUUGUUCAGAGGAAAGGAGAGGCAAAGCGCGGGGUGCGGAGGAGGGCUUGCUUGGUUUGUACAGAGUGACAGCAUGUGUACGUGGAACCCUAGAAAUAAUCGGUGACCAAUCUUUCAGAGAAGAUGCACGUGCUGUGGAUGACACUGGAAAUUUGGAUUAUCUUAAUAAAAUUUAGUCGUCUG